UCCAGACUCCUACGGGAGGCAGCAGUGGGGAAUAUUGCACAAUGGGGGAAACCCUGAUGCAGCGACGCCGCGUGAAGGAAGAAGUAUUUCGGUAUGUAAACUUCUAUCAGCAGGGAAGAAAAUGACGGUACCUGACUAAGAAGCCCCGGCUAACUACGUGCCAGCAGCCGCGAUAAUGCGUAGGGGGCAAGCGUUAUCCGGAUUUACUGGGUGUAAAGGGAGCGUAGGCGGUGCAGCAAGUCAGAAGUGAAAGCCCGGGGCUCAACUCCGGGACUGCUUUUGAAACUGCGCGGCUGGAGUGCAGGAGGGGCAGGCGGAAUUCCUGGUGUAGCGGUGAAAUGCGUAGAUAUCAGGAGGAACACCGGUGGCGAAGGCGGCCUGCUGGACUGCGACUGACGUUGAGGCCCGAAAGCGUGGGGAGCAAACAGGAUUAGAUACCCCAGUA
rnacentral:rRNA from 1 species